UAUUAUUAUUAUUACCAUUUUAUGACUUACAUCUUUCUAUUUGUUUACAAUUUAUAAUCACUGUAUCUCUUAAUAUACUUUUAUUUUGUUAAAUCUCAUCUUAAGAAAUAUUCAAUUUUCACUGUAGCUUGUUAUGUGAAAGAAAAUAAGCUACAAAUAUCUGAUUAUACAUUGGUUAUGUGACAAAUAUCUCCAAAUAAUCGACGAAGGAGAGCGUUAAGUGUGCGACAGUGAGAAAAAUCGAUACACCGUAAGAGGUUAUUUAUCGCGGUCGUCAUCUUCAAGGUUAUAUCGUAAUAUGAAACAUACACGAUAGGUACUUUCACUUUACGCCGAUGACACCGGGCAUAAUCAUUUGUAGUAAUUCUUCACGUCCCAAUCACUUCCUGGAACAUAAUCAGUCCAACCUGGUGCGACGUAGAUAUACUCACAUUUGACACCGUCGAGCACAUUGACACUGUCACAUUGGCCGAUAUUACUGGUAAAUCGAUGGCGAAAGUAAAUGUCAAUGAAACAAACACACGCGUUGGCGUGGCUCGAAUUCUUCGAGGAUAUUUCCAUCUAAGAAUCGUUGUUACACGAUACACGUAACCAUUGUUGUUUUUUUGAAAUCGAUCCUUUUAUCGUUAUUUUUAUGAAAUCAUUCAAUUCGAAUAAUUUUGUAAUCUUGGAUAUUUUAAUUUCCCGAUAAAACAUUUCAUUUGAUUUGCGUAUGUUUAUGAUAUAAACAUUCGCAAUAAUAAACGAAAGAAUCAUAAGAAUUAAAAUAUUACCAUAUCUUGAUGAUAAUAUUGUAGGAAAUAUAGUAUUUUAUUAUAGACAAAUUCUCAUACUAAAAUAUAGCUUAAUCUUCAAAAUGAAUAUGAAAUUUUUUAUAUAAAAUUUUGUGCAUAAAUUUUUAUAUAUUUAUCGGAGAUAAAAGGACACCGGAGCCUUCCCUUUGGAACUUCGGGAAAAUCUGUAAAAUUGUAAUUAAAGUAUAUAGCCGUAAUUAAACAAUUGCCGUCAUUCUAUCCAAUUGUAUUUAUUUGAGAUUUAUGACAAUGAGCUUCGGUUCCAACGGUUCCUUCGGGCAAAAUGAUUACCAGAUGUCGAUGCUCCUACACAGCACAGGUUCAGCUAGCCUGAGGACUCGAUAGAAAUCUUAGGAUUUUGGUUUAGAAUUUAGGAAAUCUUAGGAUUUAGGAUUAAGGUUCUUCAAACGGACAAGCAGUCUUUGUCCCAACUAUGGGAAGGUCGGAGAAAUCUAUCUUUUUCACGAACAACGCUUCCGCUAGCAACUUUCCCUCGAGGGCGGCUAGCAUCCUUUUCUAGCCACCAACAUGGAAAUUGACCAAUUAACAGCAACGUCAAUUUCCCUCGCUUUCUGAACGAAGGCUAUCCCCGACGAAUCCGAAUGAUCUCGUGUCCUUGGACACAACCCAUCAUAGUUUUCCUCUGCAGCAUGAUCGCGACAGAAAGUCAUUCUCUCGUGAGGUCGUAUUAGCGAGUUACUUAGUGUCUUUACGCUCGGUGGAUAUUCCACGUUUUAACAAAGAGUUAGUUUAGUUAUGCUUCCACCGUAGCCAAGCAAAUCGAGUACGACUUGGACUUUGGAAGAAGGCGCAUUCUGUUACCCCGUUGACCGCGGAUUCGUUGUUGGACCUAGGAUCAUUGUCAUUAGCUUCUCGAGUAUCUAAGUACCACGGUUAUUUGUCAAAUUCUGUAAUAGUCGUAUUCGCACUAGUCAAUGUCUUCUCCAUUGCAUAGCAACAAUGUGUAGUCCAAAUGAGGAUUCGUUUCACGCCCCUAACCCUAACCAUAAUGCGAAUUUAUCCAGUUUUUAAAUAAAAUAUAAUAUAUAUAAUAAAAUAUGAUAACAUAAUAACAUUAUGUUUUGGUUUGUACGUUGUAAUACAAAAUCGUCCUGUUUUUACAAAUAUAUUACACGUGUACUAAUGAAUAUAAAAACAAAAGCAAUUUAUGUUGCGAUUCAAUCAAUUAUAGUUUAUUUAACCUGACAUACAAACACUCACCACACUAAAGAAAUAAAUCAAUCAAAUUCGAAGAUGGUAUCCCACUGAGGGUAGCCAUCCACAUGCUAUAUUACUAUAUCACUAAGCUAUAAUAUUUUACCAAAUGCCCUACUGGACAAAUGGUAAAAUGUAAAUAAAUAAAUAAAAAAAAAAUAUAGUUUAUAUUAUAUUAGCUGCGUGUAUGCGUCGUUGUUCGGGCUUCUGAAGGGGUGAAUCUUUUGAAUCCUAGAAUUUUGGGAUUUUCAAUCUCUUUUUGACGAGCUAAAUCUUCAUAGAAUUAUUUUUUUAAAUAUUUAUACCUUUCUUUAAAUCCUUACUUGUCCAAAUUUACUUCCUGUUUUUUUUUUAAGUUAAUAUUGUAAACAACAAAUUUUAAGAUCAUCCAGAAAACAGCCACACUACCGUACGAGGAAAAUUGAUUUUUCACGUAUUCUCUCUUAAAAUCAUUGAAAAUUAUUAAACCACUACACAAUAAAUUGCUCGGGCGUAAGAUGAGCUUUAGGAAUUAUUUUAUAUUUCCAUGAUGUCGAAGAAUAUUCAUGCUAAAUUUGCCAUACAUACAUACAUAGUUUGUCUUUUAUGUAUACGUAGAUUACAUUUAUAUAUUUAUUAUUAUAAUAUCGUAGUUCUUCCUGCUUUUUUUUUUUGUUUUGUUUUCGUUUUAGUUACAUUGAAAAUUCCUGAAUAUUUCUACGUUAUCCUAUGAAUCUCGUCGUACUAAUCAACGUGACAGAAUACUCACUACGCUAGUGAUAAGGGAAGAGCCAUUUACCGCGUAUCGGCUCAAGGAAACCAGCCAGCUGCCUUUUAUUGGCUUCCAAUGGAUCUAACAUUUGCAAAUCUAAAGUUUCUUCACCAAUAAACGCAUCUGAUAUUCCGUCGACUAGCGCACACGUAAUAAGUCGACGAAUACCGCUGCACGAAAUCGUUGCAUAAGGAACAGUCGAGAUAACUUAUAGGAUAAUCACGUUAUAGACGAUGUACAUAAAGGAAUCGUACACGUCGUUAGCUUGGAUGAUGUUGGUUUCUGAGAUAAACGUUUGGACGUAGUACCCGAUAUGAUGAGUAUAAUAAAAAAUUUUGUUUUCUAUCUUUUUAUUCAAACGCUAAUUUCAAUCAAAUUUCUACUUUUUAUUCUGUUGAUUUCUUUAUUUAUUAGCCACUGAAGAGUCAGCUCCAAUAUAAUAGCACGUUAUUAAAAUACAACAAUUUUGCAAUUGUUAAGCAAAUAAAUUGAAAUGAAAAAGAAGGUAAACAUAUAAGCGUGUAUAGCUUUCGAGUUACAGAGAGUUAAAUUAAUACACGUCGAACGUAAAGUGUAUUUACAAAGCUUGGCUCGAUUGCUGUGCAUCAAAGAAACUAUCUAUGCAAAAGAGUUGGUAUAACGCAGAAAACACUUUGGUUUCACUCGCUUUGUCUCCACCAGUCCCUACUCGUUUUAUUGUUCGGAAUCGUGGGCGUUUGGAACAGGGUUGCCGGGCAGCUGAAAAUAAUGCGCUAGGAAACAAAUUACACCUGGUCCUUUAAGUCCUGUUUCCACUAUAUAUUACUUCGAUGAAAAUUUCAAGCGUUUUUACCUAUAGACAGCAUGUAUUAUUCCAAUGUAGUUGUUCAAAAUACAUAUUCUAAAGUUCGUAGAAUACUUUUAUAUAUUGAA